UACGUAGGUGGCAAGCGUUGUCCGGAAUUAUUGGGCGUAAAGCGCGCGCAGGCGGUCCUUUAAGUCUGAUGUGAAAGCCCACGGCUCAACCGUGGAGGGUCAUUGGAAACUGGGGGACUUGAGUGCAGGAGAGAAGAGUGGAAUUCCACGUGUAGCGGUGAAAUGCGUAGAGAUCCGGAGGAACACCGACGGCGCAGGCAGCGUCCUGGCCGCUUGCUGACACUGAGGCACGAAAGCUGGGGGGAGCAAACAGG
rnacentral:rRNA from 1 species